AUGAGCGCUGGCUACAGGCUUAACACAUGCAAGUCGAGGGGAAACGACGGGGAAGCUUGCUUCCCCGGGCGUCGACCGGCGCACGGGUGAGUAACGCGUAUCCAACCUGCCUCUGACUGAGGGAUAACCCGUCGAAAGUCGGCCUAAUACCUCAUGGCAUCGUCUGCGGGCAUCCAACGACGAUUAAAGAUUUCAUCGGUCAGGGAUGGGGAUGCGUCUGAUUAGCUUGUUGGCGGGGUAACGGCCCACCAAGGCUACGAUCAGUAGGGGUUCUGAGAGGAAGGUCCCCCACAUUGGAACUGAGACACGGUCCAAACUCCUACGGGAGGCAGCAGUGAGGAAUAUUGGUCAAUGGGCGGGAGCCUGAACCAGCCAAGUAGCGUGCAGGAUGACGGCCCUAUGGGUUGUAAACUGCUUUUAUGCGGGGAUAAAGUGAGGGACGUGUCCUUCAUUGCAGGUACCGCAUGAAUAAGGACCGGCUAAUUCCGUG
rnacentral:rRNA from 1 species